AUUUGGUGCUUCAACCUCAAGGCCUUGUAAAAUGCUAGAAUAAAAACGACGAUGAUAAUGAGCUUUGAAUGCUCGAAUAAUCCCAGCUCCACAUGGUUGAAUCUUAGACGUUGUGUUAGAAGCUAUAGCUGAUGCAGUUUGGGCAAGAAGAGCGACAUCGAGUGGUGAAGGCCAAAAUUUUCAAUUCUAGGUUGUAGCUUAUGUAACAAUAUGAUUGAACCAGAAAAUUUGAAGCAUUCUUUUUGAAGUAUUCUUGUGGACGUUUGUCAUAGAUUAGAAGAUUAUUCCUCUUAUCAGAUGGUCAAAGUUUCAAUUUGAAAUUUAUGAGUUCCUAUUUUUAUUAUCAGAACAAAUUUCAGGUUUAUAUU